GAUGAACGCUGGCGGCGUGCCUAAUACAUGCAAGUCGAGCGAGCAGACGAGGAGCUUGCUCCUCUGACGUUAGCGGCGGACGGGUGAGUAACACGUGGAUAACCUACCUAUAAGACUGGGAUAACUUCGGGAAACCGGAGCUAAUACCGGAUAAUAUAUUGAACCGCAUGGUUCAAUAGUGAAAGACGGUUUUGCUGUCACUUAUAGAUGGAUCCGCGCCGCAUUAGCUAGUUGGUAAGGUAACGGCUUACCAAGGCAACGAUGCGUAGCCGACCUGAGAGGGUGAUCGGCCACACUGGAACUGAGACACGGUCCAGACUCCUACGGGAGGCAGCAGUAGGGAAUCUUCCGCAAAGGGCGAAAGCUUGACGGAGCAACGCCGCGUGAGUGAUGAAGGUCUUCGGAUCGUAAAACUCUGUUAUUAGGGAAGAACAAAUGUGUAAGUAACUAUGCACGUCUUGACGGUACCUAAUCAGAAAGCCACGGCUAACUACGUG
rnacentral:rRNA from 1 species